UUAACCGAUGGAGCCACCUAGGUGCCCCUUGCUUUUUAUUUUAAACAACAAAAUAUCCAUUAAACAGUAAAGUGACCAGUCACUUCUUAAAAAGUACUUGCUAUGACCAACGUAAGGAAAAAAUAACUUCACCACACUUGUCCUUACUUGGGUUUCUGAAAUACUGGUUUAGUGAUGACCUCUAAUUUCCCAGAACACUAACAAAAUACACUCUGACAAACAUUUGUCCUUAAUGAAACAGAUAAAGAAGUAACUUCUAGAAAUUCAAAUGGAACUCAUGUUAAAAACAAAAACAAAACAGGGACGGUAGCCACAAAAAAGUAUAUUUCCACUCUGAAUAAACUUCCACAAAAUAUCAUGUUACCUCAACCUCAUUCUCAAAAGGAAGAACAUGGUUCAGUUUCACUAUUAAAAGUUUGGUUGCUCACCAUUCCAAAAAGGAAACAGAACAACUGAGAACAAGGGUACUUCAGUUCGUUUAGAUCUGGAAAUCCAGACACAAAAGCUGUGGCCUUAGACUUUUAAUAAUAGUUGAACAGACUUCUUAAUUCUGUCUUUACCCCCAAAGUGGACAGGAAAGUAAACAUAGAUAAGCAUUCCUCAAAAAAAGGAAAAAGAAGCUUCACUACCAAAAACCGUUCAUUCCAGUUUUGCUUCCCACCUUGUUAGUACCAUUCACCACUCAGGUGGUGGCCAGCCCCAUGUCACCAAAUUCUCUCCAUCCCACCCUCUCCGGACCCCAGCGAUAUAAACCCUGAGCCUAACUGCCCACUUACUAGACUCUGCAAGGGCGCCUUUUCUGACGUGUAUUUUCAGUGACUCCUAUCCAACAACACUGAACACAAAUCAUAAAAGACGGAUUAUUUCCCAGCACUGUUAUGAUGAAAGUUAACGUUGUUUCUUAAGAUGUAGGAUUUUUUCAUCUGAUUUAUAUGUGAAUAUAUGUAAAAAGUUUUCUUUUGCAAAGUGAUUAUGAUAAUAACAGUGGUAAUAAUUAUUACUGAUAUUCAUAUUAAUCAUCGUUAUUAGCACUACAUGAAUUUGGAAAAACACCAGAAAAUGUGAGACAAAUAGCCACUAUCAUCAUAAGCAUCCUUACAUUGUUGUGGUUUGUUGUUUUGUUUCAAAAGUUCCCUUAAACUCUCCCCAAAUUCUCUUAACUUAACAUCUCAUUUAGUAUCUUGAGAGAUCUUUUCUUUUUGAAAGUGAAUACUGAAAGGAAUUCAUUUUGGAUUCUGGAGAGGUUUCUUUUUCUUUUUUCUUUCUUUUUUUUUUUUUUUUUUUUAAUCUGGAAAACUAAUAAUUAGGAGAAAAAGAGACAAAAUCAAAGCAACUACCAGAGCAAUAAAGCAACACUAGAAAAUCAGACCCUAACUGAUGAAGAAAUGGCUUUGCACUUACAAAUCAACUUUGGACAAGCAGACUUAGAGCUCCAGAAAAUAAGGUUGACAUAUGAGCUCAAAACCUACCUUUAUUCAAAGCAGAUAACCUAGCAAAGCCACUUGAUGAUGUGGAUGAGAUAGUGACUUUUUUUUAGGUCCCUCACCACGCUGAGUUCCAUUCCGACACUCAGUGAGCACGUGCUCACCACAAGCAGAAUAAGCAUCUAACCAAACAAUUUAAAUGCACAGGAAAUGCACAGGAAGGUCCCAUUACAUACAAUGUACUGAUUACUAAAUACCUGUCUCAAUGCAUUAAGAUGUUGGGCCCAAACUGACAACCGCUCCUGGCAGGCCUACUCUUUUAACUUAGAAAAACAGAUCCAGUAUAUCCUUGAAUGAAAAAAUUAAACCAUACAACAGUAUGCACAAUAUAAUAACACAUUAGAUGGGUGUACAUACACAUAGAAUUUUUAAAUCUGUACCAAAAUUUGUGUCAAUUUAUAUACGAAAAAUUUUAACAGUAAUUAUCUCUGUGCAUAUAAUUUUCUUCUUGUUUAUUUCCAGAUUUUUCUACAAUGACCAAAAAAUAAAACAUGAACUUUAACAGACUAUGUCAUAUGACAUCUUUUUGUUGUUUAUUAAUAAAUGUCUCAACAGAAUCCCAACUACAAUUGUUUUAAUCCCAACUACAAUUAACUUCCAAAGGCUGAUGAGUAUCAGAAAUUUGGCUUCAAGAUCUAAUAUAUUUAACUUAUAGCCCCUUUCAAGGCACAAAAAGUGAUGUUCUUUCAUAUCAUUAUGAUGGAAAACACAUCUUGGGUGCUUAAGAAAAAAAAAACAAAAAACUGUUAGGUACUACAACGGACAAGUAAAAAUCUUUCCUCUAGCAGAAUACACAAAUCUGAAUUGCUUCAGAAAGCAUACACAAAAUUGACAAGAACCUCUUUGGGAGACUUUCAUAGAGUUAAACUAUUUACAAACCACAGCUUCAUCUACGUCAAUAUGCAACACUUUAAAACCACACGAAAAGGAAAGGAAAUUUUUAGUACAGCCAACGUUCGCACAAUGAAGCUGCUACUGCUGAGGCCAGGCCAACAGCUCAUGCUUCUGUGAAGACCUGCAAGGAGCCCGCAGUGGCUCAGAGAGUAUCCCCCCAGAAGCAAACAUACAUGGGAAUUCCAAAAUCAUGAAAUCACACCAUGGAAAACCCAGGCUUCCCCACAAUCUCAGACGUUCCCACCAGUCCACACAAUCUAGUAAAUUCACCAAUAAAAUUUCCUAUAAGAAUUAGAAAAAUUGUAACCUAGCAUUGUGAAUAUAGAUGUUUUAACAGAAAAUAGUCGCUAAUUUUAAUUACUAAC